CUGCGAGACUGGGGUUAAUGUAAUUAGGUCAUGUACCAUAAGUAGUACCAGCAUAGGAAACGGGCCGCAAGAUGGGACCCACACUCACAGGGUUGGGCCAUGUCAGAAGAGUGGAGAGAAACAAUGGCAAAUCAUUUGCUUUACAAAGGGCACGAGGAGGGAGAAUUACCCUCCAAAACACAGCACGCUGGGUGGAGGACUCUGUGUCCCUGCUGGCCAUUGCUAACACACAAGAGGGUGAACGGUGUUGCCAGCUGAGCAGUCCACAUGGACAUCAAGAGUUAAAUAUCCAGCAACUGUAUUGGAAUCCAGAGGUUGCUUCUGUUUUGGGAAUUGAGUAGGAAGAUUGGGGAAGGAAAGUCUGGGAUGCACCGGACUAGAGGAUUGUGCGAUAGGGUUGGUGGACUCUCCAAAACGUAAGCCUGGCAACCUGAGCUUCAGCUGUGUCCACAUGGCAAAAUGAGUGGCCUCGGACCCAUGCUGCAGUGGGUCUCAGACUCAGACCCUUAUCCCUGGGCAAGUCUGCAUUCCUGAGGUUUCCGCUUCAAGUCAGAAGACUUUGUGUGUGGACAGUAGAGCAUCCAUCUCCAGGUGCCAACAACUGAGCAGAGGUCACACCGACUGUAAGGGUUUCAGCAGAGGCAGACUCAGGGUCCAGUACCAAUGACCGUCAUAUCACUGCACUAAAAGGGUUAGUUAUUCAGGACAAGGGGACAUGCUUCAAACAAUCCUGCCAACAGCCGAAACAAUACAGAGCUUGUGGAUUUCUACAAGACGAGUGAAAUUCAUCCACUCCCCUCCCCAAUACACACGUGUCCAGCCCCUGAAAAAGUGAUUGGUGUGUGAGAAACUACAUGGAGGCCUACUCCAGCUUGUGGGCAGCGUACAGAGCAACCCUGCAGGUUCUCUACAAAAAGAGCUCCAGCCCCUGGACUUGAACAAGGGCUGCAGCCACAGGACCAAAGAAAUCCCAGCCUAGUGACUGUGCUGUCCCUUCUCCCCUGGCUCCUCGGGAAAUCCCAACUGCUCUGUCCUAGGAGCAGUUGGCACAGGAUUCUGAUCCAGCAUGUGCGGAGCCUGACACCCGUGCAGCCACUUCUCUCCUCGGUAGCAAACCACAGAGGUUCCAGGCUGCAGGGGGACAUCCACGGCUCUUACUGUGAGAGGUAAAUGUAAGCAGAUACAAAAGCUGUGCUAUCUGACACGAUCUCCUCCAAGUGGAACAGUCCGGG